rnacentral:misc_RNA from 1 species
GGUGUUCCUUGCCAUAGCUAACUUUACUUUUUAUUUAAAAGAUUCAUGGUUAUUAAAUAACAUAACGAAAGCUUUUAGUGGUUCUUCUCUAGCAAAUCAAAACUACGUACCAUUUAGAAUUUUUUAUUUCAAACUAUGCCUUACUUCUACUUCAGUUGCCAAUCAGGUGACAGAAUAGAGUUGUCCUUCUGGGAGAUAAGAGUGUGCGAAGAUGGUCUGCGUGAACUACCAAUACAAGUUCUAAAUAUUCUG